rnacentral:lncRNA from 1 species
AGAAAAUUAAGUACUUUAGUCAUGGCACAAAUUAAAUGAUUUGAGUGAUGUCCUCUGUAGAAUCGUAGAAUUGUCGAGGUUGGAGGGAUCUUUAAGAUCAUCUAGUCCAACCAUCAACCUAACUCUGAUAAAAACUAUCACUAAACCAUGUCACUAAGCACUAUGUCAACCCGUCUUUUAAAUUAACGCAGUAAAUAGCAAAUAAAGAGGACACAAUAAUGGGCUGAAAGCUGGGGAAGGGGGAACUGUCAGUGUGCUUUAUCAAGCUGCAUUUUACUAUGUAUCAUGCAUGUUUAGAGGAGCAGGAGUAUUUUCAAAAACAACCAAAAUUUUAUCUUUAAAGUACUUACAGGGUCUGAAAGUCAUCUGAUGUGGGUUUUGCUAUUCUGUAGAUCCUAGCUUUGAAGCUAUGAGAAAAAAAAUAUUACUUUCCCAGUAAUUUCAGGGUCUAAUUAGCAUACAUGAAAUAAUCUGCCACUUCCUCUUAGAGAACUUCUGCUUUGCUGUAGCACUUCAGCCUCACUUCAUACCUGAUUUGGUAUUAAAUAGAUAAUACUGAUUGAUUAAAUGUGAUACAGAUUUGAAGUUAGCAUUGUGAAUUAUGCUUUCAUUUUAAAGUAUUUUUUUAUCUUAAUUUUAUGCCUUGCAGUUAGGCGCUCCUGGGCAAAGAACUGAUCAGAUGUUGGAAACAAUCCUAGGCUUGGCAUGAAACCUACAUGCCAAUGCCUACAUGGCACCAGAACUUCCUGAGGACUCGAUUCUGUUUGAUGGCUUUGAUGCCCGUAAACAUAUUGACAUGUGGGCAUUUGUUCUUGUUCUACGGGCAAUAACAAGAGGAACAUUCAGUAAAGGAGUUUAAAGAAAAAGCUGAAGCAGCGCUAGGACUUGAUGUUAUUCUGACAGCUUCUGAAGGAUUCGGAAUGUACCAGAAGGUUGGGAUAGUGAUUCAUUUAAGGAAGGACAAAGGAAAGAGGUAAGAAAUUACAUACCAGUCAAUUUUGUUUUGAUUGUUUGA